rnacentral:rRNA from 1 species
GACGAACGCUGGCGGCGUGCUUAACACAUGCAAGUCGAACGGAAAGGCCUGCUUUCCCUUGUGGAUUGCGGGUACUCGAGUGGCGAACGGGUGAGUAACACGUGAGUGAUCUUCCCCCAACUUGGGUAUAAGCCUGGGAAGCUGGGUCUAAUUCCCGAUAGGACUGCAGGGUGGUGCCUGUGGUGGAAAACGAUUUUCUAGUGGUUGGGGAUGAGCUCGCGGCCUAUCAGCUUGUUGGUGGGGUAAUGGCCUACCAAGGCGGCGACGGGUAGCCGGCCUGGGAGGGUGGACGGCCACAUUGGGACUGAGAUACGGCCCAGACUCCUACGGGAGGCAGCAGUGGGGAAUAUUGCACAAUGGGCGGAAGCCUGAUGCAGCGACGCCGCGUGGGGGAUGACGGCCUUCGGGUUGUAAACUCCUUUCGACCGCGAGGAAGCCACCUGGUUGGAAGGGUGGUGACGGUAGUGGUAGAAGAAGCACCGGCUAACUACGUG